UUUGAGGCGUGGGGUUCGUCCUUGCGUUUUGUAUCGCAGCCUCGUGUAUCGAAAGGGAAUCAGGUUAAUAUUCCUGAACCGAGACGUGGAUAAUAUGUGGUAACACAACCGACCCAGGAGACGCUAGCGUGUGCCCAGGGAAGAGUUCUCUUUUCUUUUUAACAAGCAUAUCCUACCUUGGAAACGGAUUAUCCGGCGAUAAGGAGGAUGCCUUGGCAAAGCACUUUACUUUUUGAAGUGUCCUGCGCGCCCACGACAGCCCUUGAAAAUCCUGGCUAGAGAUUUAUUCGCACCCUCG
rnacentral:ncRNA from 1 species